AGGGGGAGGGGGCACGUCCAGACAUGCAGACGCACGAGACAGACACAGACACAGUACAUACACGCAAACACACAGACGAAAGCAGGCACUCGGAGACACAGCUCACAGACAUGGCAUAGGCACGGGUGCACGCGUAAGUCAGACACACACACACAUACGCAGACACAUGGGCAGACCCAGCACACACACAGAUACACACACAGAAACCCGUGACACACACACACACACCUGCAUAGAUUUUUCCCAAGCACACGAUAUGCACGUGGAUACACAGACUUACAAGCACAGGGCCACGUGCAGACAGACACAGACCCUGUCUGCACCACAAACAUACCACACACAGCCACACACACAGAAGCCAAACAUCCUCGCAUAGGUGGAUACAAGCACAGACUCACAUACACAUAUGCGAUACACAUAUGGAUACAUACACAGAGUACCCCCACAAACACACAGACACACACGGGCAGAGACAGACAGAGACAGGCACAGACCCCCCCCACACAAACACACAGACACACACAGGGGCAGAGACACACAUAGACAGGCACAGACCCCCCACACACAAACACACAGACGCACACGGGGCAGAGACACACAUAGACAGGCACAGACCCCCCACACACAAACACACAGACACACACACACAGGACACACAUUCCAAAUGCCCAUCCCCACCACAGCCCCGUCUCCCUCUUUCCAGGCCACGGCCUCAGGGGCACUGAGCCCUCUCAGCCCUCUCUGCCCUCUCU
rnacentral:lncRNA from 10 species